AUGCAGCUGUAUCACCAUCCGUAUUCACUAGACAGUCAGAAGGUGCGGAUAGCCCUGGAAGAGAAGGGUAUUGACUACACAUCAUAUCAUGUCAAUCCACUAACAGGGAAAAACAUGAAUGUGGCCUUCUUCCGAAUGAACCCUUCAGCGAAGCUCCCUGUCUUCCAAAAUGGCGCUCAUGUCAUUUUCCGUGCCAUCGAUAUCAUCCAGUACUUAGACAGACUCGCGGUGCACUUAAGCGGCGAAAUCCAGCCUGUGAAUACUGAGGUUCUCCAAUGGAUGCAGAAAGUUGAUGGUUGGAAUCCUAAGAUGUUCACACUAACUCACACCCCACUAAAGUACCGUGCGUUUGUCUCCAAGUUCAUACGCCGGGUGCUGAUUGCUCGGAUGGCUGAAGCCCCAGAUUUAGCUAGCAUGUACCAUGUCAAGCUCCGUGAUGGUUAUGAGACCGAAGACAGACUGAAGGACCCCGAGACUAUGCGGCAAAGUGAGGAAGAGCUGAGCAAACUUCUGGAUGAUGUUGAGGCACAGCUCAACAAGACCAAGUAUCUCGCUGGCGAUGAAUUCUCACCAGCUGAUUCAAUGUUCAUUCCCAUUCUUGCACGAAUAGCCCUUCUUGAUCUUUAUGAGGAAUACAUCAGUAGCAGGCCCAGGGUCCUGGAGUACCACACAUUGGUCAAGCAGAGGCCAAGCUACAAGGUUGUAAUUGGGAAGUACUUCAAUGGGUGGAAGAAGUACCAUACUCUCUUCAGGACCUCGUUCUUCCUUUGUGUUCGAACCUUGUUCCGAAGAUACUAG
rnacentral:rRNA from 1 species